rnacentral:lncRNA from 1 species
GUCUUCGCGGCCCGGGGACCUCGGCGCCCUCCCUGGCAGAGCGGGCCUGGGCCCCUGACUGGUGUCCGACUUGCUCUUCCACUUCGACAGCCUGGGGCCUUAAGAGCCCCCCACCCCUCCUGCUGUUUCUGGAAGCGAGAAGCAGCCGGUGGGGGGGGCGUGGUCUCGUUUGCGGCGGCCCCAGCAGGAGCCGGAUCUCGGCGGCACCUCCGAGGGAUGCGCUCUGGCGAGCCCCGCCGCCCCUCCGGGAGCCCGAGCCUCCUCGCCCGCCACCCGCAGCCCGGGCUGAGCUCUGCGGCCGCGCCCCGGGCCUCUCGAGGCAGCAUCACCGAGGCCUGUGGUACCUCUCGGCUCCGGGCUGAGGUUGAGGUCGUUUGGUCAGGGAUGGAUUGGUUCGGUUUCCAGGUCCAGAUCACUGUCGGGAAUACCGUGUGCUUGUUGAAAGAGUAAGGUUCUCCUGUGACGCCCGGUACCUGGCUGGUUUAAAGAAUCUGGUGCAAAGCACAAAGGAUUGAUUGAAAUGCCCAACCUUUCUAAAGAAAAUGAAGUAGAUGACACCGAGGUGAGGGAUCUGCCAGUUUUUUUUUUUUUUUUUUAAUAAGUCAAGCUUCUACUGUGUAUACAUGGGGCAUUUGAAAAACCGUUUAAUAGA